rnacentral:rRNA from 1 species
UACAGAGGUGGCAAGCGUUGUUCGGAUUUAUUGGGCGUAAAGGGUCCGUAGGCGGCCUGAAAAGUCGGAUGUGAAAGCCCAGAGCUCAACUGUGGGAUGGCAUUCGAAACUGUCAGGCUCGAGUGUGAAAGGGGUGAAGGGAAUUCCCGGUGUAAGGGUGAAAUCUGCAGAGAUCGGGAAGAACACCAGUCGCGAAGGCGCUUAACUGGAUCACAACUGACGCUGAGGGACGAAAGCUAGGGGAGCAAACGGG